rnacentral:rRNA from 1 species
AAAUUGAAGAGUUUGAUCAUGGCUCAGAUUGAACGCUGGCGGCAGGCCUAACACAUGCAAGUCGAACGGUAACACAGAGAGCUUGCUCUCGGGUGACGAGUGGCGGACGGGUGAGUAAUGUCUGGGAAACUGCCUGAUGGAGGGGGAUAACUACUGGAAACGGU